rnacentral:rRNA from 1 species
AACGAACGCUGGCGGCAUGCCUAACACAUGCAAGUCGAACGAGACCUUCGGGUCUGGUGGCGCACGGGUGCGUAACGCGUGGGAACCUGCCCUUAGGUUCGGAAUAACUCCCCGAAAGGGGUGCUAAUACCGGAUAAUGUCUUCGGACCAAAGAUUUAUCGCCUUUGGAUGGGCCCGCGUUGGAUUAGCUAGUUGGUAGGGUAAAAGCCUACCAAGGCGACGAUCCAUAGCUGGUCUGAGAGGAUGAUCAGCCACACUGGGACUGAGACACGGCCCAGACUCCUACGGGAGGCAGCAGUGGGGAAUAUUGGACAAUGGGCGAAAGCCUGAUCCAGCAAUGCCGCGUGAGUGAUGAAGGCCUUAGGGUUGUAAAGCUCUUUUACCCGGGAUGAUAAUGACAGUACCGGGAGAAGAAGCUCCGGCUAACUCCGUG